CUACGGGAGGCUGCAGUGGGGAAUAUUGGACAAUGGGGGAAACCCUGAUCCAGCAAUGCCGCGUGUGUGAAGAAGGCCUGCGGGUUGUAAAGCACUUUCGGUUGGGAGGACUGCUUCUAGCACUAAUAUUGUUGGAAGUUGACGUUACCUUCAGAAGAAGCACCGGCUAACUCCGUGCCAGCAGCCGCGGUAAUACGGCGGGUGCAAGCGUUAAUCGGAAUUACUGGGCGUAAAGCGCGCGUAGGCGGCUAGAUCAGUCGGGUGUGAAAGCCCCGGGCUUAACCUGGGAACUGCAUCCGAUACUGGCUAGCUUGAGUACAGGAGAGGGGAGUGGAAUUCCACAUGUAGCGGUGAAAUGCGUAGAUAUGUGGAGGAACACCAAUGGCGAAGGCAGCUCUCUGGCCUGAUACUGACGCUGAGGUGCGAAAGCGUGGGGAGCAAACAGGAUUAGAUACCCCCGUAGUC
rnacentral:rRNA from 1 species